UUGUGUUUCUUCUUUUGUCUCUCUCUCCCCUCGUAACCCUUUCUCCUCUUAUCUCCAGAUUCUUUUUUUUAUUUUUCAUCUGUCAACCUCUUAUCAUUGAUUUCCUCUUCUUCAUCCUCUGCUUUCUUCCUUUUCGUCCUCUAUCUCACCGAUUUCUCUUGUCUCUACUUUCCUCAGUCGAACUCAUGAAGUUUGUGGUUUUUGUUUAGGGGUUUCACUAAGCUUAACAGAGCAGAGGCAAGAGAAGCGUGCUGUUCAUUCGUCCAUCUUGUCCGUCUCUCUCUCUCUCUCUCUCUCUCUCUACGGCUCCAUGUCUCUCCAUCUCCAUACUGGCUAUGUCAAUGAAGAAUUGAACUAGUGAAGAAGAACCAGAGGAGGUGUCCAACAGGAGUAAGCGAAUAGAGGUUAUGGAGGCUGGACUAAGAGAACCGAAGCUUGAGGUGGAAAAUCUGGAGGCUGGAGGCGGAGGCGGAGGCGGAGGCUUGGUAGCGGCGGAUUAGGUUUAGGUUAAGGUUAAUUAUGUUUUGGUUAGUUAGAUUUUGGUUUAAUGUUAUUUUUGGUUUGAUGUUAUCGAUUUGUAUUUGGUUUAUUGUGUUUUUUAAUUCUUUGUAUACCGAUAUGAAUUGAUAAAUAAAAUUUCAAUUUUAAUUA